UACGUAGGAGGCAAGCGUUGUCCGGAAUUACUGGGCGUAAAGCGCGUGUAGGUGGUGGGACAAGUCUGCUGUGAAAGUGCCUGGCUUAACCGGGCGAGGUCGGCGGAAACUGUCCGACUCGAGGACGGUAGAGGGGGGUGGAAUUCCCGGUGUAGUGGUGAAAUGCGUAGAGAUCGGGAGGAACACCUGUGGCGAAGGCGGCCCCCUGGGCCGGCCCUGACACUGAGGCGCGAAAGCUAGGGUAGCAAACGGG
rnacentral:rRNA from 1 species